rnacentral:rRNA from 1 species
CCGAGGUCUCAAGCGUUGUUCGGAUUCCUUGGGCGUAAAGGGCGCCUAGGCGGCGGGGUAAGUCUGGUGUGAAAUCUCGGAGCUCAACUCCGAAAUUGCACUGGAUACUGCUCUGCUUGAGGGUUGGAGAGGAGAUCGGAAUUCACGGUGUAGCAGUGAAAUGCGUAGAUAUCGUGAGGAAGACCAGUGGCGAAGGCGGAUCUCUGGACAAAUCCUGACGCUGAGGCGCGAAGGCUAGGGGAGCAAACGGG